AGUGAACGCUGGCGGCAGGCCUAACACAUGCAAGUCGAGCGGCAGCGCGGGGGCAACCCUGGCGGCUAGCGGCGGACGGGUGAGGAAUUCGUCGGAAUCUGCCUUUUUGUGGGGGAUAACGUAUGGAAACUUACGCUAAUACCGCAUACGUCCUACGGGAGAAAGUGGGGGACCGCAAGGCCUCACGCAGAAAGAUGAGCCGACGACCGAUUAGCUAGUUGGUGGGGUAAAGGCCCACCAAGGCGACGAUCGGUAGCUGGUCUGAGAGGAGGAUCAGCCACCCUGGGACUGAGACACGGACCAGACUCCUACGGGAGGCAGCAGUGGGGAAUAUUGGACAAUGGGCGCAAGCCUGAUCCAGCCAUGCCGAGUGUGUGAAGAAGGCCUUCGGGUUGUAAAGCACUUUUGUCCGGAAAGAAAUCCCUGGAGCUAAUACCUUCGGGGGAUGACGGUACCGGAAGAAUAAGCACCGGCUAACUUCGUG
rnacentral:rRNA from 1 species